AUCCAGCUGACGAGUUCUAAAUAGGACGAAAAGCGUGUCCUGAAU
rfam:Schistosoma mansoni strain Puerto Rico chromosome W, complete genome